UGCCAGACUCCUACGGGAGGCAGCAGUGGGGAAUAUUGCACAAUGGGGGAAACCCUGAUGCAGCGACGCCGCGUGAAGGACGAAGUAUUUCGGUACGUAAACUUCUCUCAGCAGGGAAGAAAAUGACGGUACCUGACCAAGAAGCCCCGGCUAACUACGUGCCAGCAGCCGCGGUAAUACGUAGGGGGCAAGCGUUAUCCGGAUUUACUGGGUGUAAAGGGAGCGUAGACGGCCGUGCAAGUCUGAUGUGAAAACCCGGGGCUCAACCCCGGGACUGCAUUGGAAACUGCAUGGCUGGAGUGUCGGAGAGGCAAGUGGAAUUCCUAGUGUAGCGGUGAAAUGCGUAGAUAUUAGGAGGAACACCAGUGGCGAAGGCGGCUUACUGGACUGUAACUGACGUUGAGGCUCGAAAGCGUGGGGAGCAAACAGGAUUAGAUACCCUCGUAU
rnacentral:rRNA from 1 species